rnacentral:lncRNA from 1 species
AUGCCCUCGUGCACGUUAACAGUUUCUCCCUCCACCACAGUUUGCUAUCUUUCCAUCGCUGGCAUUCAGAUGGCCUCACCCAUCUCCCCGAGGGACAGCUGCUCCCAGACCCGCCCUGCAGCUGAGCGGCAAGACGAGCAGAAUUUUCCCCGUGAACAGGAGACAAGGAUGAGCAGCCACCAUAGAGUUGGUUUCUGUACUUCAACCUCUCAAUCAAGCCAAAAACACAGCUUCUUGGAGGGACCAGGCCAUCUCUGCAAGAUAUUCCUCAACCGUGACAUCAGCAACCAUCUUAGGCCAUUGGCAGGGAGUGAGCUGACUACUCCCCAGGAUCUCAGAGCAGAAGGGCAACUGCCUCAAGCGUGUGCAGUCAUUUAUUGCCCUGGAAAUGUACAUCCAGAACAGAUGUUCUGGCAUGUUCUGGCAGCCGUCCCGUUCAGCCUCUGCAUGAAGACUCUGUUUCUUUUCCUAAGCUGUCCCAAGACCUGA